ensembl:lncRNA
GGGAGAGGCAAGAUGGCUGACGCCGGGGAGCGCUUGAGCAAUGCAGGCAGUGUGGUGGUUCACAGUGGCCCCUGUGUUCGAAGGCUCAUGUUUGCAGACUUCCUGAUUAACCUGAUCCUGUGGGUGGAGGGCUUCUUGGCAGCCAUCCCCUUCAGCACGCUUGUGGCCAUCUUGGCUUUGUGGUUUGGCAUGUCUGGGCCCUUCACCUUUGUGGGCGCCUAGCCUACUUCGGCUUCAAAAUGCCUGUACUAUUUAAUGAAGCUGCCAGUUGAGGACUCGUCAUUUUGUAUUAGGUUCCCCAUCAGCUAACACCAUAACGCUAGCUAAUCUUCCUGGGGUCCAACACCAAUUAACAAAACAUUACAAACAACCACAAUCAAGACAUCAAACAUUCAACAAGUAUAAAAUACAGAUAAUUAAAAUACCUGACAGGAAACACAUUUAACAUUCUUGUGAGGCGUCUGUUUCUCAAACUAGACACUAAUGUACUUGUCCUUUUGCUCAGUUGUGCACCGGGGCCUCCCACUCCUCGUUCUAUUCUGGUUAGUGCCAGUUUGCGCAGUUCAGUGAAGGGAGUAGUACACAGCGUUGUACGAGAUCUUCAGUUUCUUGGCAAUUUCUCGCAUGGAAUAGCCUUCCUUUCUCAGAACAAGAAUAGACUGACGUGUUUCAGAAGAAAGUGUUUGUUUCUGGCACUCCUUGCAAACAGUGCAAUAAUAUUAAGCUAUAUCUAUUUACAUUAGGCUAUAGCCUACAAAUAGCUAUACCACGUAGUCGUAGGCCUAUUAGGCUAUAAGCCUACUGCAAAUUGUUGUUUGUUCCUGAACUGGCCGAAUGUCAGAGCUAUCCUUCAGCACCAGAAGUUGGUUCAACUUUAAUAUCAAUGCGUGAUCCUGGCAGUCCAUUCAGCACCACAGAGGGUGUUCCAACUCAUUAAAAUAACACUCAUCAAGAUCUGUUGCUUAUGCCUAAUAGGUCUGUGUGCUUAUGGAUAAUUCCUAUUUAAUUUCAUCUCAGCAAGGCCAAACGAGGAAAUGUAUAAUUUUAUAAUUUUUCAAGUUCAAAACGAAAAUUGGAUAUCAACUUGUUUUCUCGUUUGUGGUCUCCAAAAUUGUGCAUCGAAUAACAAAAGACAAAUGAUGACUAAAUGUAUCCUAUUUUAUUUUUGUACCUUGAAGUACACACCCCCUAAUAUAACAUUCAAGCACAGAUAGGACAAUGAGAGAUGGAGUGCCAUGCCUGUGGGAGAGGGCGUGCACAGAACUUAUCACAGUGCCUAAAGUGUCGGGCAGAGGGUCCACGAGAAACCCAGCACCUGGCGGUGAUGAAAGAUCUACCAUGACAAUUUUUUCCAGUGUUAAUGUUUCUGAAAGUUAAGCACACAAUAGCCUACAGUUACAGUAGAAGUCAAUGUGUUUGACAGUAAUCAAUAUGUUCCAUUAUAGGCCAUAGCAAGACGUGUUGUCACAGCUCAGGGAUAUCACUCGCAGAUGUGUUUAGAUCGACCAGUGGCCUGUUUGUUUGUCUUCAUUGAGUUUAGAACAAAAUUAAAAGCGUCGUUCAGUUGUGGCUUGUUAGCUCCAACAAAGACUUACUCAUGUACGUGUUCAUGUAUGUGUCUA